rnacentral:rRNA from 1 species
UACGGAGGGUGCGAGCGUUGUUCGGAAUCACUGGGCGUAAAGGGCGUGUAGGCGGUCCACUAAGUCUGAUGUGAAAGCCCGGGGCUCACCCCCGGAAGUGCAUUGGAAACUGGUGGACUCGAGUCCCGGAGAGGAAGGUGGAAUUCCUGGUGUAGCGGUGAAAUGCGUAGAUAUCAGGAGGAAUACCGGUGGCGAAGGCGGCCUUCUGGACGGUGACUGACGCUGAGACGCGAAAGCGUGGGGAGCAAACAGG